ensembl:lncRNA
CUUGUUUUCAGGGGAGUACAUGCCUGGAAUGUUAGCAAGCUAUUUGCUGGAAAAAAUGCCCACAACAGGCCUAAUGUUGAUCACAUUAAUGCGUUUGAGUGAGUAUGGAGUGCAAAUGAUUGAAAAUGCUUCCAGAUCCCCGUUGCAAGGGACAAAGCAGGCUCUGUUCUCUGAUCUGAUGGUCAUUUUUUUUUCCAGCGGAGGAUGUGGGGCAGGAAGAGGGAAGAGGGCCAAUCUCUGUCUAAUGGUUCCAAACAGGGCCCGGGCCCGGCCCUCUGGAUGCUGACGAGUGGGAAAUGAAACACAGAUGGGUCAGAUGGGUAAGGAGAGGGGGAUUACAGGUCAGGCCAAAGAGUUGGAAUAAAUUAAGUGCUUAUGAGGUACAGAAUGGCACAUUGUUUAAGUGAAUGGACAGGGAAAAAACAUUCCAGCAUUGUUCAUCUGCCGAGGGAGCCCAACGCUCCUCUUCCCAGACGAGCCCAGGCCACAGAGCGCCUCCUCCUCGCCAGGAUGUUUGUGACCCACAGACUGAAAACGCGGCCAGGCGGUGCCCGAAACAUUCUCCCAGCCUCCAAAGAGGCCAGUUUGGCUUUAUUACACGGGAGAUGUAAUUUAUUGGGAGAAAUGUUUGGGUUCGUGUGUCGGAUGGUGGAGAGUCAGAUUUGGAGUUCCCUAGGGAUCUCCGAGGAGAAGGUAUGUUAAGGAAAUCACCAAGUCCCAGAGUGUAGACGAGCCCGAUCCCUUCGCAGCAGGUAAUCAACAGCCAGGCUGGAGAAAGCGUGUUUUCUUGAAGGAACCAAACCGAGAGAAUGUGAGGGCGGAGAGGGUCACCUCAAAGGACAGAGCUGAAGUCGCAGCUGCCAACAGAAUUAGAAAAGUUCUAAAGCUGGGGAUUAAUGGUUUCUUUUUUAGCGCGACAGAAAUUAUUUUCAGAAGUUUAUUUUCAUACCAGCCACGUUUCCAUUUUAUGGGCUUGACCUUUAGCAGAAUAUCCCACAGGCAACGCGGGAGACAGUGGUGCUCAUGCUGUGAGUAUGAAAAGCUUCUCAGUGGAUCGAUUGGGGCAGGGCAACUCCAGGCACACGGGGAGAUGACUCCCAACGACCAGUGUGGAAAGUCUGGAUGCAGCCUCUCUUUCAAAGGCCAGUGAUUUGCACUGUUAGGAUUUUAGUAAGUGGGUCCAAGUGAGUGAGAGCUGAUUAUGUGCACAUGUCAUCUUACUGUAUACUGUUUAGCUGUACUACUUAUAAUGUCAAUAUUUUACCUUUCCCCCCCAAUCUACCCCCCCAAGGUCUUUUAUUAGUCCUAUGCUCUGAAUCUUGGAAGGGAACCCCAGGAAUAAUCAGUUUGUAAAACAAAUUUGAAAAAAACGAUCAUGACACAAGCAUCAGUAUUAAGAAUUGGAGAGAAAAAAAGGACUGUGGAGAAAUGUCCUGCUUGUACUGAGCAAAAACAUAAAACUGUUAUUCAUGGAAAGAAGGACAGACCCAUAAGAAACUAAUAUCCGGUCUGGGAUAUUUGCUUUUUCCUUUCCAAUAAAAGCGAUGAUUUUUUUUGGGGGGGGGUUAAU